CACGUAGUUAGCCGUGACUUUCUGGUUGGAUACCGUCACUGCGUGAACAGUUACUCUCACGCACGUUCUCCUCCAACAACAGAGCUUUACGAGCCGAAACCCUUCUUCACUCACGCGGUGUUGCUCCAUCAGGCUUGCGCCCAUUGUGGAAGAUUCCCUACUGCUGCCUCCCGUAGGAGUAUGGACCGUGUCUCAGUUCCAUUGUGGCCGAUCAGUCUCUCAACUCGGCUAUGCAUCAUCGCCUUGGUAAGCCGUUACCUUACCAACUAGCUAAUGCACCGCAGGUCCAUCCCAGAGUGAUAGCCAAAGCCAUCUUUCAAACAAAGCCAUGUGGCUUUUGUGUUAUGCGGUAUUAGCAUCUGUUUACCAAAUUGUUACUCCCCCGCGUCCGGGGCAGGGUUACCUACGGUGUUACCUCACCCGUCCGCCACUCACUGGUGAUCCAUCGUCAAUCAGGUGACAAGCACCAUCAAAUCGAGUU
rnacentral:rRNA from 1 species